rnacentral:rRNA from 1 species
GACGUAGGGGGCCAGCGUUGUUCGGAAUUACUGGGUGUAAAGGGUUCGUAGGCGGUGCGGCAAGUUGGGAGUGAAAUCUCUGGGCUUAACCCAGAGGCUGCUUCCAAAACUGCUGUGCUUGAGUGUGGGAGAGGCGCGUGGAAUUGCAGGUGUAGCGGUGAAAUGCGUAGAUAUCGGGAGGAACACCUGUGGCGAAAGCGGCUCACUGGACCAUAACUGACGCUGAUGCACGAAAGCGUGGGGAGCAAACAGG